CUGCUCAGGUCCUUUUCCCUGCAGCUGGCUGAGUUCUUUGCAGAGGUGAGAGAGAAGACCUAGACAUCAGAAAGCUCCAGGCUCAUCUUUGCAGCUUUUGCAUUUUUAUCUAAGCAAGGAACUUGUCAUCCCAACCUUCCCCACACUUCUUAUUUCCUGCCACUUUCCUGUCUGCUCGAGGGAGAUUUUCCAGAAAAGACCAGACAGCGUUUCCACUGUGCAGCCAUGCUCCUGUUGUUCUUCUCAAUACUUGCGAUGAUAUUUGCCCUGAGAGAUGCCAGAGCCCAGACAGUGACCCAGCCUGAUGACCACGUUUUGGUUUCUGAGGGAAAAUCCCUGGAGCUGAGGUGCAACUAUUCCUAUGGUGCAACCCCAUAUCUCUUCUGGUAUGUCCAGUACCCCAGCCAAGGACUCCAGCUUCUCCUCAAGUACUUUUCAGGGGAUACCUUUGUUCGAGGCAUUAAAGGCUUUCAGGCUGAAUUUAAGAAGAGUGAAUCUUCCUUCAACCUGAAGAAACCCUCAGCCCAUUGGAGUGACUCAGCUGGGUACUUCUGUGCUGUGAGUGACACAGUGCCAGGUAUUGUAGGAGGAGCUGAACACAAACUACUCAUGGUAGUGGAGUUUUUGGAGACUCAAGAUCUCUUCUUGUAUUUAAAAAGUCUCUUGCUAUAUGGUGGCAAAUGAGGCAGAGAGCUGAGCAGACCUAAGUACUUAUAUAUAAGCCUAUAAUUCCAUGUCUGGUAAAUUUUAUUUCAGAAACUUUUUGCUUUUUUGUAGAAACCACAAAAUUCUAGAAUUACAUUCUUAUAUAAUAAUCAUAUGCCUAAGGACUUGCCUUUAGAUUGACUGCUGAAGGAGAUGACUACAUGGGUUUUCAUUUAUCAUUUCAUGUCUCACCCAACACAGACAAUGAAAGAUGAUCUCCUCAUGUUUUCUCCCUGAAAAUUUGCAUUUAUGUCUACUUGGUCAUUCACAGACAAUUUUCUUGAAA